rnacentral:lncRNA from 1 species
UUCCUGACCGCAUUAUUCUUCUUCAGGCAGGUAGGAAGAACAAUCUCUCCUUGGCAUGGCAUUUGAUUAUUGAUGUUGCAUGUUGUCAUACUUGGUUAACUUACCUGGGCCAAUAGCCCACUCAGGCCGAACCACGUGGCACUCCAACCGAGGUGGCCUGUAUUACCGAGGUGGGCUAUGGCCGAUGCCCUUCACGCCGAAGUCCACUAGCCAAGGCAUACCCCUUUUACUGAGGCCUGUGAGAGUAAUUGAGGUCCAUAGGUUGAGGCCUAUGAGCCGAAGCCAUGAUAUUGAAGCUGUUUGAAGUUAGUUGAAGCCCUCAAGUGGAAGUAUUGUAUGAAAUGGCCGAAACUCCGAAACUGACGCAGGAGCCUCCGAACCACAUGGGAGCAUCCUUCACAAUCACUUCUCCUAAGAGAUCGUCUACACAAAGAUCUUAUUCGAAUGAUUGAUGGAACGUUUGUCAUAAGCAUAAAGGUCAAGUUUUGGUACUAGCAUGGAGGCUCUGCACAAACAAUAAAUGCGCAGCAAACUAGCAAGUCAAGCCCCCUGCCUAGGAUAAGAUGUUUGAAUCAAAGAGAUGAAGCCACGUGCCACCUCAUCCAAGGGCUCCCAUUUCGCAUGUAUCACUAUAAAUGCUUCCAUUGUGUAACAUCAAAGGACUAAUGCAAGAAUCAAUACAAAGAACUAC